UACGUAGGGUGCAAGCGUUGUCCGGAAUUAUUGGGCGUAAAGAGCUCGUAGGCGGUCUGUCGCGUCUGCUGUGAAACUCAGGGCUUAACCCUGAGCUUGCAGUGGGUACGGGCAGACUAGAGUGCGGUAGGGGAGACUGGAAUUCCUGGUGUAGCGGUGAAAUGCGCAGAUAUCAGGAGGAACACCGGUGGCGAAGGCGGGUCUCUGGGCCGUAACUGACGCUGAGGAGCGGAAAAGCAUGGGGGAGCGAACAGG
rnacentral:rRNA from 1 species